CCCGCUGAACUUAAGCAUAUCAAUAAGCGGAGGAAAAGAAACCAACAGGGAUUGCCUUAGUAACGGCGAGUGAAGCGGCAACAGCUCAAAUUUGAAAUCUGGCUUCUCUGAAGUCCGAGUUGUAAUUUGUAGAGGAUGUUUCGGUUCUGGCUCUGGUCUAAGUUCCUUGGAACAGGACGUCAUAGAGGGUGAGAACCCCGUAUGUGACUGGAAGCCGGUAACCAUGUGAAACUCCUUCGACGAGUCGAGUUGUUUGGGAAUGCAGCUCAAAAUGGGUGGUAAAUUUCAUCUAAAGCUAAAUAUUGGCGAGAGACCGAUAGCGAACAAGUACCGUGAGGGAAAGAUGAAAAGAACUUUGGAAAGAGAGUUAAACAGUACGUGAAAUUGCUGAAAGGGAAACGCUUGAAGUCAGUCGCGUCAUCCAGGGAUCAACCUUGCUUUUGCUUGGUGUACUUUCUGGUUGACGGGUCAGCAUCAAUUUUGACCAUUGGAAAAAGAUUAAGGGAAUGUGGCAUACAUAGUGAUGUGUUAUAGCCCUUGGUUGCAUACAAUGGUUGGGAUUGAGGAACUCAGCACGCCGCAAGGCCGGGUUUUUAUUAACCACGUACGUGCUUAGGAUGUUGGCAUAAUGGCUUUAAUCGACCCGUCUUGAAACACGG
rnacentral:rRNA from 1 species